AGUGUUGGUAGUACCAAUGUGAAAAUGCUGUGCUGAGUGGUUAUAUUACUACCUUAAAAAAUAAGCAGAAACUCGACGUUUCGAGCGAAGGCACUCAGCACAGCAUUUAUAAGAGCACAUAUAUGUAGACCAUUUGUGUUGACCAAAACGACAGAAGAUAAAGAACACUAAUAUAUUUAAUAUAUUCAAUCACAAUUUCUAUUUUUGGGAAUGAAUUUUAUGAUCGAACUCGAACUGUUAACUGUUUGAUUUUAUGAAUUCAAUUAAACAGGCUUCUAAAUUGUGGAGACUGUCCUUUUGUGGCUUGAAAUCUGAAAAUGGCAAAAUAAGGGUGUGGGUGUUUUUUUUUUUUGGGGGGGGGGUUGUUGUGGCGUGGGCAGGGCAGAGUGUGCCUAUAUGAUAUGCAUAAGUUGUGCAUGUUACUCAUUUUUUAUUUGUAAAGUUGGGAGGUCUGGAUCUAUCCCGAUGGGAAAAGAUAUUUUGUCCGAUAAUUCUUCUGUGUUUACAGUAAACAAGACAGCCGUAUUCUGUCAAGAGUUUAUCAGUUAAUCUGAGUAAACAGUCUCACCAAAUACAAAUAGCCUAAUUUUUACUUGCUUUCCUAAUUCCAUGUGACACUAGAUGAUCAUGAAUCACUAUUUACAGUAGAACCUUGCUAACUCGAACUCCCAAGGGAAGCGAAAAAAUUCAAGUUAGCGGGGGUUCAAGUUAAUGGUUUGGUGUUUCAUUUAAUUUAUUUUGUUAAUAAUUAAUAAGGUGUAGUUAUUUUAUUAUUCAUCAUAAUUGUGAGCCAUUACGGUGCAAUCUAAAGAACUUACAGACUUUGUACAAUUGACACCAAGUUACAGUAAACAGUACCUACCAAAAGUUCA